rnacentral:rRNA from 1 species
UACAGAGGUCCCAAGCGUUGUUCGGAUUCAUUGGGCGUAAAGGGUGCGUAGGCGGCGCGGUAAGUCGGGUGUGAAAUCUCGGAGCUUAACUCCGAAACUGCAUUCGAUACUGCCGUGCUGGAGGACUGGAGAGGAGACUGGAAUUUACGGUGUAGCGGUGAAAUGCGUAGAUAUCGUAAGGAAGACCAGUGGCGAAAGGCGGGGUCUCUGGACAGUUCCUGACGUGAGGCACGAAGGCCGGGGGAGCAAAACGGGGAUUAGAAAACCC